UGCGGAGGGAUCAUUACAAGUGACCCCGGUCUAACCACCGGGAUGUUCAUAACCCUUUGUUGUCCGACUCUGUUGCCUCCGGGGCGACCCUGCCUUCGGGCGGGGGCUCCGGGUGGACACUUCAAACUCUUGCGUAACUUUGCAGUCUGAGUAAACUUAAUUAAUAAAUUAAAACUUUUAACAACGGAUCUCUUGGUUCUGGCAUCGAUGAAGAACGCAGCGAAAUGCGAUAAGUAAUGUGAAUUGCAGAAUUCAGUGAAUCAUCGAAUCUUUGAACGCACAUUGCGCCCCCUGGUAUUCCGGGGGGCAUGCCUGUUCGAGCGUCAUUUCACCACUCAAGCCUCGCUUGGUAUUGGGCAACGCGGUCCGCCGCGUGCCUCAAAUCGACCGGCUGGGUCUUCUGUCCCCUAAGCGUUGUGGAAACUAUUCGCUAAAGGGUGCUCGGGAGGCUACGCCGUAAAACAACCCCAUUUCUAAGGUUGACCUCGGAUCAGGUAGGGAUACCCGCUGAACUUAAGCAUAUCAAUA
rnacentral:rRNA from 1 species